GAUGAACGCCAGCUACAGGCUUAACACAUGCAAGUCGAGGGGUAACAAGAGGAAAGCUUGCUUUUCUUGUUGACGACCGGCGCACGGGUGAGUAACGCGUAUCCAACCUGCCUAUAACUAGGGAAUAACCUUGCGAAAGUAAGACUAAUACCCUAUGAUUUCCUUUGAUGACAUCAGAUUAGGAAUAAAGAUUUAUCGGUUAUAGAUGGGGAUGCGUCUGAUUAGCUUGUUGGCGGGGUAACGGCCCACCAAGGCAACGAUCAGUAGGGGUUCUGAGAGGAAGGUCCCCCACAUUGGAACUGAGACACGGUCCAAACUCCUACGGGAGGCAGCAGUGAGGAAUAUUGGACAAUGGGCGGAAGCCUGAACCAGCCAAGUAGCGUGCAGGAUGACGGCCCUAUGGGUUGUAAACUGCUUUUAUACAGGAAUAAAGUUAGCCACGUGUGGUUAUUUGUAGGUACUGUAUGAAUAAGGACCGGCUAAUUCCGUGCCAGCCGCCGCAGUAAUAC
rnacentral:rRNA from 1 species